UUGAAUAGUGACUGCGGAGGGACAUUACACAAAUAUGAAGGCGGGCUGGAACCUCUCGGGGUUACAGCCUUGCUGAAUUAUUCAGGCUGUCUUUUGCGUACUUCUUGUUUCCUUGGUGGGUUCGCCCACCACUAGGACAAACAUAAACCUUUUGUAAUUGCAAUCAGCGUCAGUAACAAAUUAAUAAUUACAACUUUCAACAACGGAUCUCUUGGUUCUGGCAUCGAUGAAGAACGCAGCGAAAUGCGAUAAGUAGUGUGAAUUGCAGAAUUCAGUGAAUCAUCGAAUCUUUGAACGCACAUUGCGCCCUUUGGUAUUCCAAAGGGCAUGCCUGUUCGAGCGUCAUUUGUACCCUCAAGCUUUGCUUGGUGUUGGGCGUCUUGUCUCUAGCUUUGCUGGAGACUCGCCUUAAAGUAAUUGGCAGCCGGCCUACUGGUUUCGGUGCGAUGCACAAGUCGCACUCUCUAUCAGCAAAGGUCUAGCAUCCAUUAAGCCUUUUUUUCAACUUUUGACCUCGGAUCAGGUAGGGAUACCCGCUGAACUUAAGCAUAUCAUAAGCCCGGAGGAAU
rnacentral:rRNA from 1 species